rnacentral:rRNA from 1 species
AAUGAACGCUGGCGGCAUGCCUAACACAUGCAAGUCGAACGAGACCUCCGGGUCUAGUGGCGCAUGGGUGUGUAGCGCGUGGGAACCUUCCCUUAUGGACGGAAUAACUCUCCGAAAGGGGUGCUAAUACCGGACAAUGGCUACUGACCAAAGAUUUCUUGCGCUGGGUUGGUCCCGAGUUGGAUUAGCUAGUUGUUAGGGUAAAAGCAUCCUAAGGCGUGGAUUCAUAGCUUGUAAGAGAGAAUGGUCAGCCACACUGGGAGUAAGAAGCGGCCGGGACUCUUACGGGAUGCAGGAAUGGGGAAUAUUGCAACAUGGGGUAAGGGAUGAAGCAGCUAUGCCGGGUGAGUGAUGAAGGCAUUAAGGUUGUAAAGCUCUUUUACCCGGGAUGAUAAUGACAGUACCGGGAGAAUAAGCUCCGGCUAACUACGUG